UGAAAACGGCAUUAAAACAUUAGAGGAAAAUUUCACAGAAGCAAUACAUUCUGUUAAUUAUUGUUUUGGUGAUAACGGUAUUCCAGACCAUGUACAGAAAAUCUUAAGCGACGAUUGCUGCCUGAAUCUGACUCAGAAAAGCUCACCUUUCUGGGUCAUGACUGCGGCUCUCAAAGAGUUUGUUCUAGCCGAAGGAGAUCUUCCUAUCCAAGGUAGUUUACCAGAUAUGGCAGCCGAUACCUUGAGUUACGUAACAUUACAGCAGCUGUACCAUAAACAAGCCCAGUCUCAAGCUGAGGUGGUAUACAGGAGGGCGUCGCAAAUCCUGAAUGUCCUGGGUCUUCCACAAGAGACUAUCACAGAAAGUGAGG